UCUGAAUCCCCCUUCUCUCUCGAUCCUCUCUUAAAUUCUCUCAAACCUUAUCCCCCCAUCAAACUACAACCCUAACAUCUCCCAAAUCUAUGGCUUCCAAGGUCAUCAGAGACCUGUAUCCACCUCUCAUGGCUUCUACGUGUUCAAUUAUGUGGUCUCAUGACUAGAUCAUGAAGGGUUUGUCCAAGUUUUGCUCUAUGGCUAUUCUCUGGUCGUCUCUGAUCUUUCUCCAUCCAGCCAUGGCUAUUCAAGUCAGAUUUUUGACUCUCCUGCUUAGAUCGAGGGUUUUCAAAGCCUUUCUCAUUAUUUGGGGUUCUUCUGAAACCAUAACCUCUAAGGUUCUUCCGAUUUCUUUUAGAUCUCUUUCAGAUCUAUGUUUGCUCUGAACUUCUAAGAAUUUUUGUCAAAUUCUCUUUUAAACUCUGC
rnacentral:lncRNA from 1 species